CCGCGCCCGCUACCUGAAGGUUACGGCUUUCUGGUCUGUGCGAAUUGAAUCUGGUCGUGCCGCUGACCUGAUAGGUCACCGCCAUGCGCAUCAGAGAUACCGACGGUCUAAAGCGUCCGCGCAGGUCUCGCGCAGUUUCCUUGCUGAUCGGCUUUGCCUUCGGCUCGGUGACGCAGAUAGCACGAUAGGUCG
rfam:Pseudomonas sp. 1 R 17 genome assembly PSEFL294_LIB5394, contig: PSEFL294_LIB5394_000057